GCGCCCUUGGUGUAGCGGUAACACACAAUCUAAUUCUAAGUGAACACAUGGAAUAAGUUAGAUUGGAUCCGGGGUUCGACUCCCCGAGGGCGCA